GCAACUGUGUCAUAGUGAUUUGAGUGUUGGACUGCAGCUCUGGAGAUCAGGGUUCGAUUCCCUGCUGGGCCU